AGAAUUCCUGCCAAAUUAUGAGUUAGUUAUCUAAUCAAUCCUCACCCACACCGAUCGAUCAACCUAAGCACAACACUGCUCGCCUCGCCAGAACACUCAUUGGAGCCUGAAGCCUGUAUGACAAUGUCUUCCACGAUGAAUACAAAGAACUGCCAAACCUCCAAAAAGAAGUUUGCUUCAGCAUGAGGUCCUGAGCAAAAGAAUCCAUGUAAAUAUCCUCAACUGUUGCACUACUGUCGGAGUCAUAGUCUUGGAAAUUCAUGGAUAAUUUUCCAGAAAAUGCAUGCGACGAUUUCUUGUUACCCUCUUUUGUGUGUCUCCACGAGGAUGCAAAACCAGAAUCAUCUCUCAUGCAAUUUUGUUUGGAAGAGUCGUGAAAGGAAUCAUUCACCUCCCUCAAUGAAGUGCUGGUCAAGAAAUUCAUUCCUUUCUUGGAAUCGCGAUUGUUGAGACACAUUGCAUCUUGACAAAAUCGGAGAGCAGCAGGAAGAAUUUUCCGAUGAAACUUCAGGAUUCUUUGAAGACCCAGGAGAACCCUGUUUAUGAACAGCAUGGGAACGCAAAGGUCGAAGGCAGCUGAAUCAGAAAGCAAGAAAAAUUAGAAUAUCAUUACCACAAGAAGAAAACUCUCAAGUAUCAACAUUCGACUGGAACUUUCUCAUCUGGUUCAGAAAUUAACGACAGGAAGAGUAGUUUGCACUGCAUGUGGAUCAAAGAACAGAAUGAACACGGGAGUAAUAGAGUUCUUGAACUUACUGCACUUGGCAACUAGAUGCUUGAUGUGGUGAGUUGCCACAACUGGCGACUGGUCUGCACAGAUCACUCAAAGAAACAAGGUUCCCCUCUCUGAAGUCGUCGUUCAUGGCACCGAAAGAAAACGAAUGGCUUCUUCGAACAAGUACUCGAGGUGAGUCUUCAUUUUCUGGAUAUCGACUGGGAUCUUUCGCAAUGUCUUUUACAGUCAGAGAACAAUCACAGGGCUUCUCACUGCAUCCCAACUUCUUGUCAGAACAUGAAGGAGGUGUUUGUAGAGAAGUGCCACUUGCAUCCCUUGACCCCAGAGAUUUAAAUGAAAAAAGCCUCUUCAUUUACAAAGUUCUGUUUGAUUUCACUCCUGCAAGGCAUAGAAUUGUUUGUUUUAGGACUUCUCAUUGUUAUUACGUUUGAAUUCACUCUUUCAGGCCCAAACAGUCAUAGUCCUAAAACAAAGAAAGGACAAGAAUUAGACUGAGAUAACAAAGGGAUGUUAAGCAUCUUACAGACUAAGCUUAACAGAAUUCUGCAUAAAGACCAAUUUGAGGAUUUGUUAGUCCAAAGAACAAUUACAAGAAUUUGUUAGUCAAGUUUGAGGCAGCAGAAAAAUAAACUACAAAGUCAAUUCGAUCUUCAACAAAGAAAAGGAAGACUAAUUCAAGCAAGCAAGCAAAAAGAGAAUUCCUUUCAUUCUGAAAAAUUAGGCAAACCAAAGAGAAAAACCGCCUGCGCAAAGAGCAAACUUUUGGCGAGGAUUGGAAGAGGAGAGGAAGAAAGCUAAUCUACCGCACUCAACCUCUCUACUGCUUUCGAAUCACUCGGAGAGAGUAAAGCGAAGCGAAUUACCGGUUG